GCGAAGAACCUUACCUACUCUUGACAUCCAGAGAACUUUCCAGAGAUGGAUUGGUGCCUUCGGGAACUCUGAGACAGGUGCUGCAUGGCUGUCGUCAGCUCGUGUUGUGAAAUGUUGGGUUAAGUCCCGCAACGAGCGCAACCCUUAUCCUUGUUUGCCAGCGAGUAAUGUCGGGAACUCCAGGGAGACUGCCGGUGAUAAACCGGAGGAAGGUGGGGACGACGUCAAGUCAUCAUGGCCCUUACGAGUAGGGCUACACACGUGCUACAAUGGCGCAUACAGAGGGCAGCCAACUUGCGAAAGUGAGCGAAUCCCAAAAAGUGCGUCGUAGUCCGGAUUGGAGUCUGCAACUCGACUCCAUGAAGUCGGAA
rnacentral:rRNA from 1 species